CCUACGGGAGGCAGCAGUGAGGAAUAUUGGUCAAUGGCCGGAAGGCUGAACCAGCCAAGCCGCGUGAAGGACGAAUGUGCCAAGCAUUGUAAACUUCUUUUGUCAAGGGACAAAAUCAGCCUCGAGAGCCUGACCGUGGGUACUUGAAGAAAAAGCAUCGGCUAACUCCGUGCCAGCAGCCGCGGUAAUACGGAGGAUGCGGGCGUUAUCCGGUUUUCUUGGGUUUAAAGGGUGCGUAGGCGGACUGUUAAGUCCUCGGUAAAAGCCCGGGACUCAACCCCGGCGAGCCGUUGAACCUGGCUGUCUUGAGAUGUCGAGAGGUAGGCGGAAUGCGCAGUGUAGCGGUGAAAUGCUUAGAUAUUGCGCAGAACUCCGAUUGCGAAGGCAGCAUACCGGCGGCGAGCUGACGCUGAGGCACGAAAGCGUGGGUAUCGAACAGGAUUAGAUACCCUAGUAGUC
rnacentral:rRNA from 1 species